CUAGAUGAUGACAUAACAAAAACAAAGCUGGAAUUACCCACUGAACAAACCUUGUUGAUAAGUUUUUGCAUUUUCUCUGAUU
rnacentral:snoRNA from 1 species